GACGUAGGGCGCGAGCGUUGUCCGGAUUUAUUGGGCGUAAAGAGCUCGUAGGCGGCUUGUCGCGUCGACUGUGAAAUCCCGCGGCUCAACCGCGGGUCUGCAGUCGAUACGGGCAGGCUAGGGUUCGGUAGGGGAGACUGGAAUUCCUGGUGUAGCGGUGAAAUGCGCAGAUAUCAGGAGGAACACCGAUGGCGAAGGCAGGUCUCUGGGCCGAAAUUGACGCUGAGGAGCGAAAGCGUGGGGAGCAAACAGG
rnacentral:rRNA from 1 species